CAUAGCAUUUACAUGACAAAAAAUAACUGAUAUAACUACUAUAGUAAUUUUCAGUAAUGCACUUAAACUGGGUUUUGCAAAUUUCAAGUUAUUGUUCAUUAAAGAAGUAGAAAUUUAGAUAAAUUAGUUUAAAAAGGAGAGAAUAAUUCUCUCCUGAUUAGAACAUAUAAAUUAAUUCAAUUCUUAUUGUUUUUGUGCAGAUACGGGUGAUACUAGAUUCUUCUUUCUAUUGUGAUUCCUGUCCAGUUGCUUAGAACUGAGAAGAAUGAGAGAGAUAGACACCUCUGGGGAAUUAUGUUGGUAGCCAAGCAAGGAAGACACUGAGAUAGCUGACAGCUGCCAGUGGGAUGGAAGCUAUAAGGACUUUACUAUCAAACCCUGACAAUCUGUUUACAAGACCAGGGACUAUUGGCAGGUGAAAGUAGGAUUUUCACUCAUUAUGUCUCUUAACAGAAAAGAAGAAUUAAGAAAUAAGAGUCAAGGAAACUCUUCCCAAAGAGGAAUAUACAUUGAUGUUAUAUGAAAAAGGAGUUCUUUAUUCAGGACACUCUGUAUUGAAGUAAAGACAAGUUCAUAGCAUCUAAAUUACAUUGCUCCAAAGUGAAAUGAAAAUGAAGAAAAUCUGCUGUGAAGAAUUAGAAUCAGUUAUAUAGACAGAAUGAGUAACAAGAAUUGAAACAGAAUGUAAAAUCAAAGGAAACAAGAAAGAAAUGAGAAAACCAUGCAAAAAGAAAGAUAAGGAGAUUAUUUUAGCCAGGGGUCUCUAACCCGUGGACCCCGGACCAGUACCAGUCUAUGGCCUGUUAGGAAAGUGGGCUCCACAGCAGGAGGUGAGUGGCAGUUGAGCGAGCAUUACCGCCUCCUGUCAGAUCAUCAGCAGCAUUAGAUUCUCAUGGGAGCAUGAACCCUAUUGUGAACUGUGCAUGUGAGGGAUCUAGGUUUUGCACUCCUUAUGAGAAUCUAAUACCUGAUGAUCUGUGGUGGGACAGUUUCAUCCUGAAACCAUCCCCCUUCCACCAUCCAUGGAAAAAUUGUCUUCCGUGAAACUGGUCCCUCAUGCCAAAAAGGUUGGGGAUGGCUGAUUUAAGCCAUAAAUGCCUUGGUCAGGAAUUUAGAGUUUUCCAGUGAUAGGAGUUGAAAACAAUGGCCAAAUGGCCAGAUGCAAAAAUUCUAAGGACAUAAAGAAGCUCAGAGAAAUUUCAAAUGAAAGAUACCUGGGUUGGUGUGAAUGUAGAGACACUAGAGAAAAUGAGAGAAAACCAUGCCUUUCUUUGCCCCACUGUAGGGCUAUUCUUUUAAGGCAUAAUCUUUGAAAGAGUUGAGGACAGUGUGAAAUCUUGGAAUGAUUUCUCUAUACCCUGAAAUUUUCAAAAUAUGCUCUCCAAUACUAUGAAACUCAAGGUGAGGUCCUAGAGAGGAGUUUGUAGUCAUUCUAUAUUUUGGGAAAGAUACAAUUUUGGAAGACAUCAGUUCAGAGAAGUUCCUGAACAAGUUAAAUUGAGCACACAUAUUGUGCCUUCAUCAUCUGUAUUUUGGUUUCUGCACUGGAAACAAAGUCCAUUUGGCCUUGUUCAUUUUGAGGAAUCAAACGCAUCUAGCAACUCUCUCACUUUUACUUCUGGCUAUAAUCUGCCGCCCCAUCUACAGGUGUGGGUGUGGAAAGGGAGGAGUGAAGAGUGUGUUGGAAAACACUAGUGAUGUGAUGAAGGGGUCAAAGUUUUAAGUGGUAUAUAGGCACUGACCAGUCAAAAUCGGAUGGUGCCCAAAUUAACUGGAAGAACUCUACUAGUACUUAUCAGCAGAAAAUCACCUCUGAACUUGUCAGCAAGACCACCGAAUUGGAAGCUGGCUUACUGAGAAGCUAUCAGGGAUUCAUCAACAUGGCCACAACAUUCUCAUAUAAUUUACUGUAACUUUUUCUUAUUAAAAUUCCAGAGUAAAAAUGUCUAGGUGUGCUUUGUCAUCAACCUGCU
rnacentral:lncRNA from 1 species